rnacentral:rRNA from 1 species
CUACGGGAGGCAGCAGUAGGGAAUCUUCCGCAAUGGACGAAAGUCUGACGGAGCAACGCCGCGUGAGUGAUGAAGGUUUUCGGAUCGUAAAGCUCUGUUGUUAGGGAAGAACAAGUGCGAGAGUAACUGCUCGCACCUGACGGUACCUAACCAGAAAGCCACGGCUAACUACGUGCCAGCAGCCGCGGUAAUACGUAGGUGGCAAGCGUUGUCCGGAAUUAUUGGGCGUAAAGGGCUCGCAGGCGGUUUCUUAAGUCUGAUGUGAAAGCCCCCGGCUCAACCGGGGAGGGUCAUUGGAAACUGGGAAACUUGAGUGCAGAAGAGGAGAGUGGAAUUCCACGUGUAGCGGUGAAAUGCGUAGAGAUGUGGAGGAACACCAGUGGCGAGGGCGACUCUCUGGUCUGUAACUGACGCUGAGGAGCGAAAGCGUGGGGAGCGAACAGGACUAGAUACCCUGGUAGUCCACGCCGUAAACGAUGAGUGCUAAGUGUUAGGGGGUUUCCGCCCCUUAGUGCUGCAGCUAACGCAUUAAGCACUCCGCCUGGGGAGUACGGUCGCAAGACUGAAACUCAAAGGAAUUGACG